AGUGAACGCUGGCGGUAGGCCUAACCAAUGAAAGUCGAACGGCGGCACAGUAAGAGCUUGCUCUUACGGGUGGCGAGUGGCGGACGGGGGGGGAAACAACCGGAAUCUACUUUUUCGUGGGGGUUAACGUGGGGAAACUAACGUUAAUACCGCUACCGACUUCCGGGUGAAAGAAGGGGAUUUUCGGACUUUCCGCGAUUGAUUGAGCCGAUGUCGGAUUAGCUAGUUGGCGGGGUAAAGGCCCACCAAGGCGACGAUCCGUAGCUGGUCUGAGAGGAUGAUCAGCCACACUGGAACUGAGACACGGUCCAGACUCCUACGGGAGGCAGCAGUGGGGAAUAUUGGACAAUGGGCGCAAGCCUGAUCCAGCCAUACCGCGUGGGUGAAGAAGGCCUUCGGGUUGUAAAGCCCUUUUGUUGGGAAAGAAAAGCAGCAGGUUAAUACCCCGCUGUUCUGACGGUACCCAAAGAAUAAGCACCGGCUAACUUCGUG
rnacentral:rRNA from 1 species